rnacentral:rRNA from 1 species
GGCGAACGCUGGCGGCGUGCUUAACACAUGCAAGUCGAGCGGAAAGGCCCUUCGGGGUACUCGAGCGGCGAACGGGUGAGUAACACGUGAGUAACCUGCCCCAGACUUUGGGAUAACCCUCGGAAACGGGGGCUAAUACCGGAUACGACACAGCUUCGCAUGGGGUCUGUGUGGAAAGUUUUUCGGUUUGGGAUGGGCUCGCGGCCUAUCAGCUUGUUGGUGGGGUGAUGGCCUACCAAGGCGACGACGGGUAGCCGGCCUGAGAGGGCGACCGGCCACACUGGGACUGAGACACGGCCCAGACUCCUACGGGAGGCAGCAGUGGGGAAUAUUGCACAAUGGGCGGAAGCCUGAUGCAGCGACGCCGCGUGAGGGAUGACGGCCUUCGGGUUGUAAACCCCUUUCAGCAGGGACGAAGCGUAAGUGACGGUACCUGCAGAAGAAGCGCCGGCCAACUACGUG